rnacentral:tRNA from 1 species
CGGGAUGUAGCGCAGCUUGGUAGCGCACUGCUUUCGGGAAGCAGGGGUCGUCGGUUCGAUUCCGACCAUUCCGA